UGGGGAAUAUUGCGCAAUGGGGGGAACCCUGACGCAGCCAUGCCGCGUGAAUGAAGAAGGCCUUAGGGUUGUAAAGUUCUUUCGGUAUUGAGGAAGGUUGAUGUGUUAAUAGCACAUCAAAUUGACGUUAAAUACAGAAGAAGCACCGGCUAACUCCGUGCCAGCAGCCGCGGUAAUACGGAGGGUGCGAGCGUUAAUCGGAAUAACUGGGCGUAAAGGGACGCAGGCGGUAUUUAAGUGAAUGUGAGGUGUGAAAUCCCCGGGCAUUGCUGGGGACUGCUNUAAGAGUAUUUAUAAGGUUNUAGGCGAGGGGAAUUUCCCAUGGGUAGAGUGAGAGGAAAAAGAAGGGAAAAAACCCCUGGAAUGGCCCCCUUUAAGUCCCUUGGCUCUGUGCUGAAGCUCAUGAGCCAAAGCGUGNAAGCACACGGGACUACAUACCCUGGUAGUCCACUCUGGGNGCGCUGUCGAUUUGGGGGCUGGCGUUUAACUCUGGCGCCCGCAGGGNANNGAAACGACCGCCUGGNGAGUACGGCCGCAAGGG
rnacentral:rRNA from 1 species